UCGGGAAUUUUGGGCAAUGGGGGAAACCCUGACCCAGCAACGCCGCGUGAGGGAUGAAGGCCCUCGGGUCGUAAACCUCUGUCGGGAGGGAAGAACGUGCACAGGUCGAACAGGCCUGCGAGCUGACGGUACCUCCAAAGGAAGCACCGGCUAACUCCGUGCCAGCAGCCGCGGUAAUACGGAGGGUGCGAGCGUUGUUCGGAAUCAUUGGGCGUAAAGCGCGUGUAGGCGGCUUGGCAAGUCGGAUGUGAAAUCCCGGGGCUCAACCCCGGAACUGCAUUCGAAACUGCCUCGCUAGAGUCCCGGAGAGGAAGGCGGAAUUCCCGGUGUAGAGGUGAAAUUCGUAGAUAUCGGGAGGAACACCAGCGGCGAAGGCGGCCUUCUGGACGGUGACUGACGCUGAGACGCGAAAGCGUGGGGAGCAAACAGGAUUAGAUACCCCCGUAGUCC
rnacentral:rRNA from 1 species